rnacentral:rRNA from 1 species
UACGUAGGGGGCUAGCGUUGUCCGGAUUUAUUGGGCGUAAAGAGCGUGUAGGCGGCUAUGCAGGUCCGCUGUGAAAACUCGAGGCUCAACCUCGAGACGUCGGUGGAAACCGCAUGGCUAGAGUCCGGAAGGGGAGAGUGGAAUUCCCGGUGUAGCGGUGAAAUGCGCAGAUAUCGGGAAGAACACCCGUGGCGAAGGCGGCUCUCUGGGACGGUACUGACGCUGAGACGCGAAAGCGUGGGGAGCGAACAGG